rnacentral:rRNA from 1 species
UACGUAGGCAGCAAGCGUUGUUCGGAAUUACUGGGCGUAAAGAGUGUGUAGGCGGUGUUCUAAGUCUGUUGUGAAAUCUCCCGGCUUAACUGGGAGGGUGCGGCGGAAACUGGAAUGCUAGAGGAUGGGAGAGGUAAGCGGAAUUCCUGGUGUAGCGGUGAAAUGCGUAGAUAUCAGGAGGACACCUGUGGUGUAGACAGCUUACUGGACCAUUUCUGACGCUGAGACACGAAAGCGUGGGUAGCAAACAGG